AAAACCAGGAGACAUAAAUCACCUUUGGACAACCUACCAGAGAUUUGGGAGUUUCCCACGUGCACCUGAAUGCAGCACUGACAGUUUCUAACGGUGAAGGUAGAAAGUGUGUGUGAGCUGAUUUGGAUUGAGCAGCAUGGAUCAGUGUGAGGACAGAGAGGAGGGAGCCCCUCCCUCUAAAAGAGCCAGAGAGAGCCAGACCAAAGCUCAGAGGAACCCACCUGGACCUCCACCCAGAGAGCAUGACAAGUCUAAAAGCCCUCCCAUAGAAGACCUGCCUGUGUCUGCUGCAGAGAGGACCCAUGGGACUCCAGCUGGACUUGAAGCUGGACCCAGCUGUGUGUCCUUCAAGAGUGACCGGUCUAGACGUCAGCCCAUUGAUUUUAAAGUCCAGCAGGUGUCUGCUGCAGAGAGAGUGGACCAGGAGAGCUCAGAGGUUCAACGUGGUCAGACUGCCCAUCAAACACAGCUGGACUCCAUAUUUAUGCUGCUGGAGGACAACAUCAUCACGUUUGUGAAGAACGAGCUGAAGAAGAUCCUGAAGCUUCUGAGUCCAGAUUACCCAGAAUGCUUAGAGAGUCAGAGGGAGGAUGAUGAGAAGAGCAGAAGCAGAGAGGCAU
ensembl:lncRNA